CUGUAAGCCUGUGAAGGUGGCCUGUGAGGGUUGCUGGAGGUAUCAGAAGUGCGAAUGCUGACAUAAGUAACGAUAAAGCGGGUGAAAAGCCCGCUCGCCGGAAGACCAAGGGUUCCUGUCCAACGUUAAUCGGGGCAGGGUGAGUCGACCCCUAAGGCGAGGCCGAAAGGCGUAGUCGAUGGGAAACAGGUUAAUAUUCCUGUACUUGGUGUUACUGCGAAGGGGGGACGGAGAAGGCUAUGUUGGCCGGGCGACGGUUGUCCCGGUUUAAGCGUGUAGGCUGGUUUUCCAGGCAAAUCCGGAAAAUCAAGGCUGAGGCGUGAUGACGAGGCACUACGGUGCUGAAGCGACAAAUGCCCUGCUUCCAGGAAAAGCCUCUAAGCAUCAGGUAACAUCAAAUCGUACCCCAAACCGACACAGGUGGUCAGGUAGAGAAUACCAAGGCGCUUGAGAGAACUCGGGUGAAGGAACUAGGCAAAAUGGUGCCGUAACUUCGGGAGAAGGCACGCUGAUAUGUAGGUGAAGCGACUUGCUCGUGGAGCUGAAAUCAGUCGAAGAUACCAGCUGGCUGCAACUGUUUAUUAAAAACACAGCACUGUGCAAACACGAAAGUGGACGUAUACGGUGUGACGCCUGCCCGGUGCCGGAAGGUUAAUUGAUGGGGUUAGCGGCAACGCGAAGCUCUUGAUCGAAGCCCCGGUAAACGGCGGCCGUAACUAUAACGGUCCUAAGGUAGCGAAAUUCCUUGUCGGGUAAGUUCCGACCUGCACGAAUGGCGUAAUGAUGGCCAGGCUGUCUCCACCCGAGACUCAGUGAAAUUGAACUCGCUGUGAAGAUGCAGUGUACCCGCGGCAAGACGGAAAGACCCCGUGAACCUUUACUAUAGCUUGACACUGAACAUUGAGCCUUGAUGUGUAGGAUAGGUGGGAGGCUUUGAAGUGUGGACGCCAGUCUGCAUGGAGCCGACCUUGAAAUACCACCCUUUAAUGUUUGAUGUUCUAACGUUGGCCCGUAAUCCGGGUUGCGGACAGUGUCUGGUGGGUAGUUUGACUGGGGCGGUCUCCUCCUAAAGAGUAACGGAGGAGCACGAAGGUUGGCUAAUCCUGGUCGGACAUCAGGAGGUUAGUGCAAUGGCAUAAGCCAGCUUGACUGCGAGCGUGACGGCGCGAGCAGGUGCGAAAGCAGGUCAUAGUGAUCCGGUGGUUCUGAAUGGAAGGGCCAUCGCUCAACGGAUAAAAGGUACUCCGGGGAUAACAGGCUGAUACCGCCCAAGAGUUCAUAUCGACGGCGGUGUUUGGCACCUCGAUGUCGGCUCAUCACAUCCUGGGGCUGAAGUAGGUCCCAAGGGUAUGGCUGUUCGCCAUUUAAAGUGGUACGCGAGCUGGGUUUAGAACGUCGUGAGACAGUUCGGUCCCUAUCUGCCGUGGGCGCUGGAGAACUGAGGGGGGCUGCUCCUAGUACGAGAGGACCGGAGUGGACGCAUCACUGGUGUUCGGGUUGUCAUGCCAAUGGCACUGCCCGGUAGCUAAAUGCGGAAGAGAUAAGUGCUGAAAGCAUCUAAGCACGAAACUUGC
rnacentral:rRNA from 1 species